ensembl:lncRNA
AUGGUGCAAAGAGCAGGAGUGGAGUUCUGGGUGGUCUCGUGCAUUUCAUCGGGAGGGAGACCUGACGCUGACAUCGCCUUGGCUUUGGACAGCGGCGAAGAGCUGCAGGGAGAGAACGUUACGAACUCACACAUGCAGACGAGUUCAGUUCUCCUCCCUGUAACGGUGUAUGAGGGCCACAAUAUCACCUGCGCCUUUGACCACCCCAAAUUCACGCACCAUGUGACACGUGUCAUAGCGCUGCCGUCUUUUUAUUUGUCAGAGGUGGGAAGCGACAGUGAUGACCUCCGAGCGGCUGAACCUUUAGAGUUGCAGGAAGGACGGACGGACGUCGUCAUCAGCCUGCCCGUCACUGGCAACGUGCCACAUUACAACGUUACCUGCAAAAAAGACGACGGCCCCUUGCCUGACGGUGUUGAGCUGUUUGGCAGCAGCCUCACUCUUCAGGGUCCUCUGGAGCUUCAGCACGCCGGCCUGUACGAAUGCUUCUUCUCCUAUCACCACGUUAAAGCAAACCUGACGAUCCGUGUCACAGUUAAACCUCAACGUAUGCUGCCUGUUGCUCCAACAAUUGGAGUAGACUUUCGGACUGAAGACGGACACAGGCUGAUAGAGUGCUCAGCAGCAGAUGCUGUACCUGCAGCCAACAUGUCCUGGCUUCUACCAGAGGGUUCGUCUGGAGUUUCUUGGUUCAAUUUCACUUCUCAUAAUGGAAGCCACUCCGUCAGGGGAGUUUUACUCCUCCCUGCCUGCUCGCCUUGGGAGCUCACCGCAGAGUGUGUAAUAAAUCACCCGGCGUUCGAGGGGCCGGCGAACAGAAGCAUCACCCUCCCUCCCUGCGCCCGCCCCGAAAUCACCAUCAACUCGAGCACUGAGUGGACGGACGGCGAAGAGUUCAUGAAGGUGGACUGCUCCGUGGAGAGCGUUGCCCCGGCAGCAACCGUGAGGUGGCAUGUUGGAAACAGCAGCAGCAUCGGUUACCUGUCUGCGACUGAGGUCCGGCCCGAUGGUUCGGUGCGGGCCCGGAGCUCCGCGCGUGUCCCGUCAUCUUCGUGUUGUGGUCAGAAUGUGACCUGCACAGUGGAGCAUCCAAGCCUGGAGGCACCAGAAAAAAGAACAAUGCACAUUCUUUUGAACAGUGCGUGAGUUCUUUCUUCAAUCUGUGACUCAUACUAACUCACGCAGCUGCUUAUCCUCUUCCUCUUUGUCACCCCUUGUUUUCUUUUGCAGAAGCCCCCCCUGCUGGCUGUGUCUCUGGUGAGACAGCAGGAGUCUCCUCUCUGGCUGGCGGUGUGUGACUACAGCGGAGGGGGCGUUGGGCCUGACCUCGCCUGGGUCCUUCCCGAGAAUGCCAAAGGCCAAACAUCCCUGCAUUCAGAGCAUGAGGGCUGUGUCAUCAAAGCCAGGCUGACUUAUCAGUUUCCUCUGGCCCUUCAUGAGGGGCAGGACCUGACCUGUGCGUAUCGUUUGGAACGGGGAGUGACAGAGAAAAAGACCAUUCACAUCCCCAGAUACUGUGAGUUUAGAAUCGAUACCUGCACUGCAAAGUUGCACCAAAUUUAGUGAUUCACGUGAAUUGAUUCUGCGAUAUGUAGAUUCAAGGUUCAGCUUCAUGGUUAAAUGGGCUUUUCUGCAGAUAUCUCCUCCGUCAGAGUCUUAAAUCACACGACUCGUCUGCAAAGCCGCUACGUUGGUGAAACCAUCACGCGUAGACUGGCUCUCGAGGAAAACCAUCACAACCAAAGAGUGCUGCUCCGAGUCGAAGGCAACGUGCCAGAGUACAACCUCGUCUGUGAAAGGUGAUGCAGCCACCGUUAUCUACCACCUGACGAGGAGGCAGCUGUGCGCACAGUGUACAGUAAAACAUGAAGGCUUUUCCCAGUUGUAAGGAGCUAUCACACCAAGAGCUAUCAGCCUGGAGAUGUUUCCAUGACAGGCAUAUCACCCAGAAUAACUUUAGGUUUAGAGAUAAUUUGUGAUCCCAUCAAUGUGGGUACUGCAGCCCUUUGGGUAAAACUACACACACACACAUUCUCUUGUGAAUAUUCACCAGAAGACCAAAUGUGUUCAAAUCCACAGCUGGAAAUAGACCCCAACUAAUGCACAUGUACUCCUAUUAUGUAUUUGAAUAACUUUUCAAAAAAAAAAUAAGAGUGAUGUACUCGACAAACAAGUUAACAAACAAAUUGAACUUCAUAUUAUGGCGCAAACUCCAACAUCCAUGUCUAAACAGAUGAGCUGUAAACAGAGUUUAAAGCACUGACUCAUAUAACGUUGGAUUAUGUCUUUGUGAGUGAUUUGUUCGGAAUGAGAAAAAUAUAAAAUGCUCCUUCUGAGACAAAUUCAGCUCAAAGUGACUUGUGUUACAGGAGCGAUGGCGCAUUUGCCCAAAUGGAGGGUGAUGCGAUGGUCUUCCAGUCCCGGCUCACGGAGCGGGAUGAAGGCCUGUACAGCUGCCGGGCGUCGUUUUAUCACCACACGGCCACCGUCCACAUUCAAGUGGAAUUCACCAGCGAGAAACAGCAGCUCGGUGAGUACGGACCAUAUUGUGUUUGUUCAUCUACAAUCAGAGCGACUUGUGUACUCAGUACAUUCCGAUCGCAUCAACAUGCUGAGGAAUGCUUUUCAUUAUGAAGUUUGCUGCGACUUUAAAAAAAAAGACAUUUGUGCCUUUAACAACUGUGUCCGUGUGUGUGUUUCAGCUCUUGCUGUAGUUGUCGGCCUUUCUUCGGCCUUGGCCGGCACCCUCGUCCUCACCUCCUGGGUGUGCUGGUGAGUUAAUCACCUGCACAGGUAACCGUGGUUGCAGCACGGCAGGUGACGCGUAGACAAGUGAGAACGGCGCUGGCGGUGGCACAGAACACGAGACAAACAGGAUGCGCGGAUCGUUAACCCGAAUGACCAAAAAACCCCAAUCUCAUGCUGUUAUUCACAAACAGGAAGCAGUGUGGCAGAAGGCAGACAGCUGCCUCUGCGCCGCAGCCCUGUUUUGCAGACAGGUAACACAUUGUAGAUGAACAGAUUAAUGAUUCCAGUUUCCUGCUUUGGCUUUUAGCAGUGUUAUUUCUGGCACUUUCAGCAGUCGGCUGCUGUUUGUUGGGCCAAUUAUGGACCAACGCCACAUCAAGAAAGCAAAGGUCAAAAGUUCACAAGUCCACUACUUCAGAAGUAUAAUAAAAUUCAAACUGCCAGUCACCAUGAGGAAAGAAAUAAAACCCAUCUCUUCAGCGUGUCACUCGUCUUUUACGACUGAUGUGGGACAUCUGUCACAACCCUAGAAUCGUUUAAUGGCUUCUGAGUGCAGAACUUUCCACAUAUUUCCUGUUCGCUGCCAAAUCUAAGUUCAGGCCUGGAUGUAAAUGAAGCCACACAGUGAAGCACAACAGCAGUUCAGAAGCUGCCUCAGUAGGCCCACUUCUCUGGUCAGAACAUUUAGUCAAGGUGCCAUUGUGCUCUUAUCCCCGGCUGUGAUGGGCGGGUCCUGUCAGGCUAAUUUGGGAAGGUCAGUCACACGACGUACAACAGGCGAAAACAUGACUCCCCAGGAGAAAAGCUAUUUUGGAAACACCGUCAACCCCCCCUUUGCAACCUCUCUUCCAGUACUGGGGACACUUUUUUUGACGGCCGCGGGUCUUCGUUGCGUUGAUGUCUCUAAGGUCCUCAUGUACAAAGUUAGCUGCUGCGUCUGACGUGAGAUCAAUGGCGAGGGCUCAGGUCACCCCUCGCUGUUUCCAUCCAUAUUCCUGAAGCACAACGCGGUCACGCCUGCAACUUGUUUGUCAGGUUAAAUCACAGUGCCAUCUAGUGGUAAAGUUCAACACUACAAUCUCCUUUAAAAAAAGUCAAUAAUUCACAUAAAUUAUUUCUUUGUUGUUUUACAGCAAAAUACAUAGCCGGUCCCAUUAUAAGGUAAGACCAAAUCCAGUUAAGAUGAAAGCUUGUUUUCCU